rnacentral:rRNA from 1 species
UCAGGCUAGAGUGCAGGAGAGGAAGGUAGAAUUCCCGGUGUAGCGGUGAAAUGCGUAGAGAUCGGGAGGAAUACCAGUGGCGAAGGCGGCCUUCUGGACUGACACUGACACUGAGGUGCGAAAGCGUGGGUAGCAAACAGGAUUAGAUACCCUGGUAGUCCACGCCGUAAACGAUGUCGACCAGCCGUUGGGUGCCUCGCGCACUUAGUGGCGAAGUUAACGCGAUAAGUCGACCGCCUGGGGAGUACGGCCGCAAGGUUAAAACUCAAAUGAAUUGACGGGGGCCCGCACAAGCGGUGGAGCAUGUGGUUUAAUUCGAUGCAACGCGAAGAACCUUACCUACUCUUGACAUCCUGCGAACUUGUGAGAGAUCACUUGGUGCCUUCGGGAGCGCAGAGACAGGUGCUGCAUGGCUGUCGUCAGCUCGUGUUGUGAAAUGUUGGGUUAAGUCCCGUAGCGAGCGCAACCCUUGUCCUUAUUUGCCAGCACGUAAUGGUGGGAACUCUAAGGAGACUGCCGGUGACAAACCGGAGGAAGGUGGGGACGACGUCAAGUCAUCAUGGCCCUUACGAGUAGGGCUACACACGUGCUACAAUGGCCGGUACAAAGGGCAGCGAGCUCGCGAGAGUCAGCGAAUCCCUUAAAGCCGGUCUCAGUCCGGAUCGGAGUCUGCAACUCGACUCCGUGAAGUCGGAAUCGCUAGUAAUCGUGCAUCAGAAUGGCACGGUGAAUACGUUCCCGGGCCUUGUACACACCGCCCGU